GACGAAGGUCCGGGUUCUCUCGGAUUGACGGUAGGUGGAGAAGAAGCACCGGCCAACUACGUGCCAGCAGCCGCGGUAAUAUGUAGGGUGCGAGCGUUGUCCGGAAUUACUGGGCGUAAAGAGCUCGUAGGUGGUUUGUCGCGUUGUUCGUGAAAUCUCACGGCUUAACUGUGAGCGUGCGGGCGAUACGGGCAGACUAGAGUACUGCAGGGGAGACUGGAAUUCCUGGUGUAGCGGUGGAAUGCGCAGAUAUCAGGAGGAACACCGGUGGCGAAGGCGGGUCUCUGGGCAGUAACUGACGCUGAGGAGCGAAAGCGUGGGGAGCGAACAGGAUUAGAUACCCUGGUAGUCCACGCCGUAAACGGUGGGUACUAGGUGUGGGUUUCCUUCCUUGGGAUCCGUGCCGUAGCUAACGCAUUAAGUACCCCGCCUGGGGAGUACGGCCGCAAGGCUAAAACUCAAAGGAAUUGACGGGGGCCCGCACAAGCGGCGGAGCAUGUGGAUUAAUUCGAUGCAACGCGAAGAACCUUACCUGGGUUUGACAUGCACAGGACGCGUCUAGAGAUAGGCGUUCCCUUGUGGCCUGUGUGCAGGUGGUGCAUGGCUGU
rnacentral:rRNA from 1 species